CAAAGCAAAGUGAACUGUUACUAGAGGAAGAUGUGAAUAGCGCCAUAAAAAGAUUUUGGGAGGAAAACUAUGAUCCAUGCGUGCAACAACUAUUCACUGAGAAGACUGAUGCAAGCACAAGUGAGGCCGAAGAGAAAAAUGGUGUUGAUAAUGACUCAAAGGAAGAUUGAUCUUUUAAUUUAUUAAUGAUUCAAUUAUAGAACAUUAUAAUAAUUUAGAUUGUAGUUGUUCAAUGUAGGUUCUAUUGUUGAACGUGUGAGGUAGUCUUUUUCUUUUUUGGGGGGUGUGAGACUUUAUUGGAUUGGACCAAAAAGUUUGCCAGAAUGUAUUGGUGUGUUAUGUAUAAGGUUGAGACUCAUAUAGACUCAUAGUACCUUUGUCAUGGAGCUUUGGAGCUAAGACAAGGCUAUUAUAUAGUCCAAGAAAUCAUACGAAGUUUUAUUAGUGAAACUGGUAGUUUCGUACAUAGACAAAUUAAUGGAUUGUUUUAAUCAAGUAGUGCAUUUUGUA